ensembl:snoRNA small nucleolar RNA SNORA11
GGGGUGUGCUCAGAGCAGGUGCCCUGAAGAACGGCUCCUCUGUUUACAGCACUCCAACAGGAAUCGAAGGUCAUUGUGACAAGGGACAUAACACUAUGACUUCCCUUUGAGCAAAUCUCCUACACAU